rnacentral:rRNA from 1 species
GACGAACGCUGGCGGCGUGCUUAACACAUGCAAGUCGAACGGUGAACUCCGCUUGCGGGGGGAUCAGUGGCGAACGGGUGAGUAACACGUGGGCAACCUGCCCUCAGCUCUGGGAUAACUCCAAGAAAUUGGGGCUAAUACCGGAUAUGACCGCUGACCGCAUGGUCUGGUGGUGGAAAGAUUUAUCGGCUGGGGAUGGGCCCGCGGCCUAUCAGCUUGUUGGUGGGGUAGUGGCCUACCAAGGCGACGACGGGUAGCCGGCCUGAGAGGGUGACCGGCCACACUGGGACUGAGACACGGCCCAGACUCCUACGGGAGGCAGCAGUGGGGAAUAUUGCGCAAUGGGCGAAAGCCUGACGCAGCGACGCCGCGUGGGGGAUGACGGCCUUCGGGUUGUAAACCUCUUUCAGCAGGGACGAAGCGAAAGUGAGGGUACCUGCAGAAGAAGCACCGGCCAACUACGUG